GGUGUUGUAGCUUAGUGGUGGAGCAUCUGCUUUGUGUGCAGAAGAUCCCAGGUUCAAUUCCUGGCAUCUCCA